AGUUUCAUCUGCAUGGAGCCAUUCAGUACAUGAAGAGAGGUAAGAAGUUCUCUUCCUUUUUUUGGGUGGAACAGCCAGGCCCCUCCAGUUCUCAACUGCAUCCCCAUCAGCCGGAAGAAUGUUUGUGGCAGCAUCAGAUCCCACAAACGGAACAAAUCCGCAUAUUUCCCUCGAUGAAGGAAAGAUGACGAGCAAUGAAGCGAUCGACUCGAACAGGUCAGUCUGGAUCUCAUCAACUGAAUCCACUCUCUCACUUUCCUCUGUCUGUUCAUCUGGAAUGAUGAUGGAGUCUUGAGCAAUUUGGGCUUUCAGGUAUUUCUUGCACCUUUCUGAAGGAAGAGGGGCUCCAGAACUGUCAUCACCUUCUGCCUCACUUAGGGCCACAACAGUGAUAGCAUGCAGUCCCACUGGCAUAUCAUCUUGAUGCAGUGCGCAACAUCAACCCUGAUAAAACAAGGGGGGAGUUUGGCAGACUGGGUUCCAAGAAGGACAUGAAAGCAUUCAUUAAGGUAGGACUUCAGAUCAGGAUGAGGAGUGAAAGCCUUGACCAGAGCUCCCAGAAUUGCCAGAGAAAAGUCACUCACAGCUUCCUUUGGCACAGGUGCACCUGCACGAAUCCAUUCUGUCAACCAGUUUGCGAUGGCAUUAACAUCAUGUUUCUCUGACAGCAUUUGCACCACUGGGACACUGGGGCAAUUGUUUUCUGUCAGAAUACCUUGAUAAAGGAAGAUAUGGCCAGAUUUGCCAUUUGGUCUCAGCAGUUUUUUCACAACUGAACCGGUUGCAUCAAAACACACAGUUGGGGGAGAUUUUUUUGACAAUGUCUUGUAAACAUGCAUCUGUGUUUGACUCCAGUAGUGACAGAAAAACCUGUCCAGUCCAAUAUCUCGGAUGCUACCACUGUAAGGAACACUAUAUUUUAACAAUUGCAGAGAUGCAAUGGGGUCCUUAUCUCCUAAUUCCAAGACUUUUCUCUCUUGUUUGGCUUUUCGCAGAGUGGCCAAAUUUGGAAGGUGGCUUGGCUCAGGAUCUCCAACAUCCAUCAGAUCUGCUGCCUUCGCUGACCUCCAUACAGCCGGUUCCAUUCUGCCCUCACACAGCUCUUUAGCAAUCUGUUCACGCAGGUUUCCAGACAUGAACCGCUUGGAGUGGCCAGUGUGCAGGGAGAGAUCUGUAUUUCUCAUGAAACACUGGAGCACCAUUGGAGUAUUAAUUGCUGGCUGUCUGUCACAUGACAUUUCUAACUGGCCAUGACACUCCUUACAGUCGCCUCUGAUGUCCAGAUAAUUAUUGUUGACAGCUGGAUGGACCUUUGCUCUUCGGAACACAAGUGUACAUGUAUUUUUGAUCUUCUUCCAUAUAAGAUCAUUGAUGAUAUGAGUCCAAGUGCCAGGUUUCAAAAUUGUGUAUUCUCUUUUUUGGGUAGGAGAAAACUUGUCAUUGUAUUCAACCUUUUCAGGAAUAAAUUUAACCCAGUCCUCAAAAGGGACUUCUAGUUCAAAAGCUUGACAGUUUUCUUGUCCAGGAGAAAUGCAAUGUGAAUCUAACUCUCCUUCACUAUUACUUUCCUGAUCACUGAUUUCCAAAGCUGACCAGAUGUUGUGUCUAUUUAGCUUCACAAAAGUGUACAGGGCCUUUGCUGACAUCUUGUCUUCUAGCUGCUGACUCAGCUCUUUCCAGACUGAUGCAGCUGGAGUGGCUAUUUUGCCAUUUUGGACUAUGGCCUCUUUUGAAUUGCAAAGAAUUGCAAAAAUGGAAACCUUGUCUACAGAUGGCUUUCGAGGCAUCUAAAUUAAAAAAAAAAAACCCACUAUGAUUAUGAUGGAGCAAAACAUGAUUUGACCUAUAUAUACAGCCAGGAGCAACCCCUCCCCCAAGUUCUCCACCAAUCUACACUUUCAUAUUUUGUGGAAUUAUUGUUUUUAAGAUGGAGCUAUUGAAUUUGUGAGUUUAUUAAAUUGAGUCUGAGUGUUUAACCCAUUAACAUGUACUGUACAGCACUUUAGU
ensembl:lncRNA